rnacentral:rRNA from 1 species
UACGUAGGUGGCAAGCGUUGUCCGGAAUUAUUGGGCGUAAAGCGCGCGCAGGCGGCCUUUUAAGUCUGAUGUGAAAGCCCACGGCUCAACCGUGGAAGGUCAUUGGAAACUGAAAGGCUUGAGUACAGAAGAGGAAAGCGGAAUUCCACGUGUAGCGGUGAAAUGCGUAGAGAUGUGGAGGAACACCAGUGGCGAAGGCGGCUUUCUGGUCUGUAACUGACGCUGAGACGCGAAAGCCAGGGGAGCGAACGGG